rnacentral:rRNA from 1 species
UGGCGGCAGGCCUAACACAUGCAAGUCGAGCGCACCUUCGGGUGAGCGGCGGACGGGUUAGUAACGCGUGGGAAUAUACCCAAAGGUACGGAAUAGCCUCGGGAAACUGAGAGUAAUACCGUAUGUGCCCUUCGGGGGAAAGAUUUAUCGCCUUUGGAUUAGCCCGCGUAAGAUUAGAUAGUUGGUGGGGUAAUGGCCUACCAAGUCUACGAUCUUUAGCUGGUUUGAGAGGAUGAUCAGCAACACUGGGACUGAGACACGGCCCAGACUCCUACGGGAGGCAGCAGUGGGGAAUCUUAGACAAUGGGCGCAAGCCUGAUCUAGCCAUGCCGCGUGAGUGACGAAGGCCUUAGGGUCGUAAAGCUCUUUCGCCAGAGAUGAUAAUGACAGUAUCUGGUAAAGAAACCCCGGCUAACUCCGUGCCAGCAGCCGCGGUAAUACGGAGGGGGUUAGCGUUGUUCGGAAUUACUGGGCGUAAAGCGUACGUAGGCGGAUUAAUCAGUCAGAGGUGAAAUCCCAGGGCUCAACCCUGGAACUGCCUUUGAUACUGUUAGUCUUGAGUUCGAGAGAGGUGAGUGGAAUUCCAAGUGUAGAGGUGAAAUUCGUAGAUAUUUGGAGGAACACCAGUGGCGAAGGCGGCUCACUGGCUCGAUACUGACGCUGAGGUACGAAAGUGUGGGGAGCAAACAGGAUUAGAUACCCUGGUAGUCCACACCGUAAACGAUGAAUGCCAGACGUCGGGGGGCUUGCCCUUCGGUGUCACACCUAACGGAUUAAGCAUC